rnacentral:rRNA from 1 species
UACGGGGGGGGGCAAGCGUUGUUCGGAAUUACUGGGCGUAAAGGGCUCGUAGGCGGCCAACUAAGUCGGAUGUGAAAUCCCCCAGGCUUAACCUGGGAACUGCAUCCGAUACUGGAUGGCUUGAAUCCGGGAGAGGGAUGCGGAAUUCCAGGUGUAGCGGUGAAAUGCGUAGAUAUCUGGAGGAACACCGGUGGCGAAGGCGGCAUCCUGGACCGGCAUUGACGCUGAGGAGCGAAAGCCAGGGGAGCAAAACGGG